rnacentral:rRNA from 1 species
CACGUAGGGCGCGAGCGUUGUCCGGAAUUAUUGGGCGUAAAGAGCUCGUAGGCGGUUUGUUGCGUCGGCUGUGAAAUCCCGAGGCUCAACCUCGGGUCUGCAGUCGAUACGAGCAAACUAGAGUGUUGCAGGGGAGACUGGAAUUCCUGGUGUAGCGGUGAAAUGCGCAGAUAUCAGGAGGAACACCGGUGGCGAAGGCGGGUCUCUGGGCCGAUAUUGACGCUGAGGAGCGAAAGCGUGGGGAGCGAACAGG